GAUGAACGCUAGCGGCAGGCUUAACACAUGCAAGUCGAGGGGUAUAGGUUUUCGGACCUAGAGACCGGCGCACGGGUGCGUAACGCGUAUGCAAUCUACCUUUUGCAGAGGGAUAGCCCCAGAGAAAUUUGGAUUAAUACCUCAUAGUAUAGUACUUUGGCAUCAAGGAACUAUUAAAGUCACAACGGCAAAAGAUGAGCAUGCGUCCCAUUAGCUAGUUGGUAAGGUAACGGCUUACCAAGGCUACGAUGGGUAGGGGUCCUGAGAGGGAGAUCCCCCACACUGGUACUGAGACACGGACCAGACUCCUACGGGAGGCAGCAGUGAGGAAUAUUGGACAAUGGGCGCAAGCCUGAUCCAGCCAUGCCGCGUGCAGGAUGACGGUCCUAUGGAUUGUAAACUGCUUUUAUACAGGAAGAAACACUCCGACGUGUCGGAGCUUGACGGUACUGUAAGAAUAAGGAUACGGCUAAACUCCGUGCCAGC
rnacentral:rRNA from 1 species